rnacentral:rRNA from 1 species
GUGCCAGCAGCCGCGGUAAUACGGAGGGUGCAAGCGUUAUUCGGAAUUACUGGGCGUAAAGGGCGCGCAGGCGGCCUGGUAAGUCAGUUGUGAAAGCCCGGGGCUCAACCCCGGAAGUGCGACUGAAACUGUCAGGCUUGAGUAUGGUAGAGGGAAGUGGAAUUCCUGGUGUAGCGGUGAAAUGCGUAGAUAUCAGGAGGAACACCGGUGGCGAAGGCGACUUCCUGGCCCAAUACUGACGCUGAGGCGCGAAGGCGUGGAUAGCAAACAGGAUUAGAAACCCGAGUAGUCC